AAACGAUGGUGUGGAUAUUUCCCCAAAAGGUUUUUGAACCUCUCAUGGGCUUCAAAGAGUGUCUCUAAAUCAUCUUGCCUGAAAGAAGAAAUUUCUUGUCUUAGCCU